rnacentral:rRNA from 1 species
GAUGAACGCUAGCGGGAGGCCUAACACAUGCAAGCCGAGCGGUAUUGUUUCUUCGGAAAUGAGAGAGCGGCGUACGGGUGCGUAACACGUGUGCAACCUGCCUUUAUCUGGGGGAUAGCCUUUCGAAAGGAAGAUUAAUACUCCAUAAUAUAUUGAACGGCAUCGUUUAAUAUUGAAAGCUCCGGCGGAUAGAGAUGGGCACGCGCAAGAUUAGCUAGUUGGUGAGGUAACGGCUCACCAAGGCGAUGAUCUUUAGGGGGCCUGAGAGGGUGAUCCCCCACACUGGUACUGAGACACGGACCAGACUCCUACGGGAGGCAGCAGUGAGGAAUAUUGGUCAAUGGGUGCAAGCCUGAACCAGCCAUCCCGUGUGAAGGACGACUGCCCUAUGGGUUGUAAACUUCUUUUGUAUAGGGAUAAACCUACCCUCGAGGGGGUAGCUGAAGGUACUAUACGAAUAAGCACCGGCUAACUCCGUG